rnacentral:rRNA from 1 species
GAUGAACGCUGGCGGCGUGCCUAACACAUGCAAGUCGAGCGAACCCUUCGGGGUGAGCGGCGGACGGGUGAGUAACGCGUGGGUAACCUGCCCUGUACACACGGAUAACAUACCGAAAGGUAUGCUAAUACGAGAUAAUAUAUUUUAAUCGCAUGGUUAAGAUAUCAAAGCUCCGGCGGUACAGGAUGGACCCGCGUCUGAUUAGCUAGUUGGUGAGGUAAUGGCUCACCAAGGCGACGAUCAGUAGCCGACCUGAGAGGGUGAUCGGCCACACUGGCACUGAGACGCGGUCCAGACUCCUACGGGAGGCAGCAGUGGGGAAUAUUGCACAAUGGGCGAAAGCCUGAUGCAGCAACGCCGCGUGAGCGAUGAAGGCCUUCGGGUCGUAAAGCUCUGUCCUCAAGGAAGAUAAUGACGGUACUUGAGGAGGAAGCCCCGGCUAACUACGUGCCAGCAGCCGCAGUAA